rnacentral:tRNA from 1 species
GGGGGUAGAUGAGUCCUGGUGGGCUCACUGGUCUUCAAAACCAGCUUGGGGCGUUAGGAGCGUCCUAGGUGAGUUCGAUUCUCACAUACUCCCGCCA